CACUUUUGGGCGCUGCGGCAUAUUAAAUGUAUAAUAAAUAGUUUUUCUGCGUGAGAAAUACAAUGUGUGGCGGGAGUGCGUGACAAAAGACCGAAAUGAGUGACUGUCACGCUCAAUGCGUGACACUUGAGAGCCCUGAUGCUGUGUAUCGUCUAAAUGCACAUUUUUUGCUCAAUAAGUGUGAUUUAAGUGAUCGCAGCCUUUGAUCGCGUUGGUUGUGAUGAAGUGUGUUUAAUUGUAAUAAGAUUGUUAUGAAAUUCAUAAUGUGCUUACUCAUGGCUCAGUGUCUACACGAGAGAGUGAGAGAAGCCAUUGCCCCGUUGAUCCACUGAUGAUCUGUUUACAGGUUAUGUGGAAAAGCCUGUGCUUGAUGGAGAUGUAAAGCAGAUGACCACAGCAUCCCAGGUCCCAAGAGGGGACUGUUUUAGUAAUUUUCUACUGGGCAAACUGAAUUACUCAAGAUUAGAAAAACCUGUGCUUGUGGAUCUACAUCAGAUGACCAUGGCAACCCAGGUGUGGAAAUAGGAGACUGUUUUUACUUUUAAAUUUGUGUUGUCUAAAAUGGACGAUUCUUCUGACACCAUAUGAAUGCAUACGGUCGUCUGGCAGAAGCUAGGUAAUUUAGAUUAUAAAGUUAUAAGUAUGGAUAUUUUUCUUACACAAACGCAUCUCUUCGCUUCAGAAGGCCUUUAUUAAAGGAUUAGUUCAUCUCAAAAUGAAAAUUACCUGAUAAUUUACUCACCCCAUGCUAUCCAAGAUGGUCAUGUCUUUCUUUCUUCAGUGAAAAUUAAGAUUUAGGAAAACAUUUCAGGAUUU